CGUGACCUUCUCUCCCUAUCAAACCCCUCACUCCUCUAGAGCCCUCUCCCAGCCAAUGGUGCUGCCAUCCACCCAGCUCCUGAGCCAGGAGCCUGGGCUUCUCGCCUCUUCUUUCCCCUGCUCCGCUCCAAUCACCUCCCUUUCUGUUCUCACAGCCCGAGGACCCACCAAGAGUGGCCGCCUUGAGGCCAGGAGACCUGGAUCCCCAUCCCUGAUGUGCAGCCAGGAAGAGGGCCCUCAGCAAGAGCCAAAUCUGCCGACACCAUGACCUUGGACUUCCCAGCCUCCAGGACGGACACAGAGGGAAGGCUGUCUUCUACAAGUCCCGGAGAGCUUCCUCACCCAAACCAAAUCUGCCACCAGCUUGAUCUUGGGCUUCCAGCCCCAAAACUGUGAGAAGUUUGUGACCAAUACUACGAGCAAGGAGUCAAAUUUGCCUCUGCUUCCUGCACUGUCCCUGGCUGGGUGCCAGGCCCAAAACCAUCCCAAGGAGGGGAAGAAUGAGCUGUGUUCCUGGCCACCUCCCGCAAGGAUGGAGCCCACCCGUGUGCAGUGAGGGCUCCAUGGCCUUCUCGCUGUGCGUUCUCACCCGGCACAUCCCAGGGAGAGGAGGUCCUCUGGCCCUGGAAUGGGUUUGGUGGAGAAGCCAGGAAAGGUAGGGGAAGGGGGGCAUGUCACAGCUGUGGCCUUGAAGCCAACAGAGCCUUGGGCUGCACUCCAAGGACCACCACAUUGCCUCUCUACAUCAGUCCCCCCCCCACUAACUCGUCUAUCAUGAGGUGUCGCCAGGUACCCCCAGCUCAGAGGCUCGUCAUCAGCCCGGCAGCCCUGGCAGCCCCGUUUGGCUGGCUGGGACUCUGGGCACUUCAAUGAGGCGGCCGUAAGUGCUGGCCUGUGGGGAGAGGUUUGUUCUUGACGGCCAGCUUCUAGACCCCCAAUCUUAAGCCCCACUCCCAGCCCUCCCCCCACAAGAAGCUCCUCACCCCCACUCACCCCUCCAAAAUGGAGGGGCCUCUUUGGCAGGAUCAGCUCCCAGCCUGGGCAGCUAUCCCCUGUCUUUCACCCUCAUCUUCUUUAUCUUUCCAGCAUGAGGCCCUCGUCUCUUCUUUCACAUCAGAUCCUGAGGGCCUGGGUUCCUCUCUACAAAGGCCAGGAUGGCUUAACUUCCAGAUACUUCCUGGAUAUAAGGGAAAAUAUUUGCAUUUUCUCCUGGGAGGUGCAUUCAACCCUGAAAUGGGUUGGAUCCUUCUUAUGCAACAAAGAAAACGAAGAGGGAAAAAAAAAAUCAUAGUUUCCAUAUCAAACUAGGUUGUACCUUUAUUUCCUGUCUCACGUCAUUCAGACAUUUGUUGUCAGGGCCCUGACAAUAAGCUGGGGACACGGAGGGGAAUAAGACCAGUUCCUGUCCUUGGCUCUACUUGGGCAGAGACCGACGUCAUAGCACAGAGGUCGUGUGGGCUGGAAGAUGGCUCUGGGACCCCAUGACUCUGGGGCCAGGGCAGGCUGGCCCAGAAGGGAAGGGGGGAGGACUUCUCUGGCCAGACCUCAGCACCCAGGCCUCGAAGCGCAGAAGGGGGAGGGGCUUCAGCCUUCAGGGGAGAAGGGCAAGCUUGAAGAUAGAAGACACCACCCCUGCGUCCCCUCGGGAGCUCUCAGACCUGGGGUGGGUGAGGGGGUUCAUGGAGCCCCCACCCUGCUCCAGGCCCCUCUCCCAUUAGGGUGCAGGGAGCUGAGGCCUGUGAUGGGUUUGCUUUGUCAGAGCCUGGCACGGAUGCCAGGUUGAGUACAAAGCCGCAUUGUGCCCUCUGGCAGGCACUGAUGGACCCCGUGCAGGGGCUGGCCCCAGGGUGUGGAUGCUUCCACAGGCCCCAUUAGCGCUGGAGCGGCCUCCCUUCCCCCUGGGGCCUGAGUAUACACCCCUCAACACACACACAUACACACACACACGCACACGCACACGCACACGUCCGGCCUGCAUACCUUGCAGCAGCCUCAGCACCCAGAAACUCCCGGACAAUCACCUUGCCCCACUGCCAGUCUGGGUGUCCGGAUUCAGGGCUUGGCAAACACAACCACAGACCCCAUGCCUGCUCGUGCCCCAAGACCCAGACAGAGAAGCAGGUCACACGUGACCUCCAUGCCCUAUCCUGUCCUGACUGCACAAGCCUUUGCGAGCUUCCCUGUCACAGGGCCCUUCCUGAAGGUGGACUCUCUCAAGCCCCACCACGCCUGCGGGAGGAAAGGCCAGGCCGCUGUCAAAGCCGCUUCCUGGAGCUGGACACAGGCAGGAGCAAGGGCUCUGCCUUGGGGCCCGUGGCAGAAGCAGGAAUUGAUAUUUGAGCUUGAACUUCAGUCCAUUGCUUUUCCUUUGCCACCCCCCUGCCUCCCCUCUUGCAAGGAGAGAAACUCGGGGAGCACCCGCCCUGGGCAGGAAGGGAACAGACACACGGAGAGGCGCCACAGGGUACCCAAGGGCCACAGGGAGGGGGUGCAAAGUGCUGGGAGCCACAGCCCCUCCCAGGGGGACCCAGGCGCCCAGGAGAAGUGUUCUCAGGGACCGAGGCAGGAAGAGCUGCGUGGAACAGCCACAGGAGGAGCAGCUCUGAGAGGUAAGAGAGAGCGAGGCGCCUGCAGACACGGGACAGGAUGUUCGGGCCAGAGGUCAUAGUUACUUAAUUCCUGAAUCAGCUUUGGGAGGAAUGUGGAGACCCAAUCCCUACUUCCCAGAAAUAAGCAAACCCAGACUCAGAGAGGUUGUGCAACAUGCCCAAGGCUACCCAGCUGCAGAUGGUUUAUUGGAAGCUCAAGUCUGACCCCCGGUCCAAGGCUGGCAUUUCAGAAACACAGGCCCCAGGCCCUAGAAGGCACGCGACCUCGCCUAGCCUAGCCGCUGGCUGGCCGGCUGGAGGAAGUGGCUGGGCUCUCAGCAGGAAGCUUGCCUGCCUUGCUGAGUCACUCUGGCCCCUGGCUGGUACGGGGCAGGAGGAAGGUGGCUGCCCAGCAGCCCUGUGGGUCUUGUCCAGCUGCGUACAAGCCAACCCACUCACCACUGUGGGGCCUGGGGAGGCCCGUCCCUGCCUCAACUGCUGUGCGUUUACUGGGUGAGGGCUGCUGUGUGCCGCUGAGGGAGCCCCCCUCAGUGUGCUCCCAGGAUGGCGCUGGGGUACAGGCAGGUAACCAGUUACUGCAAAGCGCAGCCACAAUGCUGUGAGAGGGGACCCAGGAACUGGAGGCACAGGCCGGAGCAUCAGGGGGCCACUUGUGCUGGCUGCUGGAGAGGUGCUUAGGGAAGUGACAUUGAACUUUGAGACAAGUUCUGAAGUGUGAAAGGUGCUUGAUUAGUAGAGAAUGUGGGGACCGCUUUCCCGGCCCGGAGGUGUGGGUAAGGCUGGCAUGUGCCAGGCAGAAAGAAUUCCAGGGUGGGCCUGUGCAGACUGGCCUUCAGGGGAGCAAGAGAGAGAGGAGGCCCCAUUUUCUGGCUGUCAGGGCCUUCCAGCCUGUGGUGGGCCCUGCAUUCUCAGCUGACUCUUAUCAGGUACUGGGUGGGCUCUGAGCAAGGAAGGCUGGUGGGGCUCUGGGAGGGAUCCAGAGCUGGAAAAGUCUGCCAUGUCUUACUGAGCUCAGAAGACAGAAGGUCUUGGUGCCAAUUGCAUGGUAGGGUUCCCACCCCUCCCCCCCCAUACAGUCUUCCUCGAAUGUACAGCUCUGAUGGGGAGUCUUUUCUGGAGAGAAGGCCUGCCAGGGCCGGGAGAUGCCAGGCCUCACCUGCCUCCCCGCGGCCAGGCCUUCACUUGCCUCUGCUCUCAGCCGGGGCGGUCAGGCCCAGGGCUGCCGAGGGUCAGCGGGCACAGUGCCCUGCUCCCUCUGAGCUGGUGCCUUCUCUGACAAACCAAGACAGCUGGGGCCUCCUGGGAAGGUGGAAGAAGCCGGAACAGCCCCUGAAUCCAAACUAGCAAGUCACCCCUCACCCACCCACCCGGAGCAGAGCCUGGCCCCCUUCCAGCUGACCCAGCACACUGGUAGUCCACAGCCCUGAAAAGAGAAACAAAACGAGCUGCUUUACUGCCUGCAAAGCUUUUGAGUUCCCUUUCUUGCUGGUGCCUUGCCCACCCUGACUCGAAGACAGUGAGAAAGCUUCUGCCCUGGGCUUUGGGGCAAAGCAAAGGAAGGAGGGGACAGCACAGUGUGGGUAGGACCAACCAUGGGUUGGGGUGGGGUCCAGAGCCCCGGUUUCUCAGCUGGAACUGUCACUGGCAUAGAGAGGGGUCUGGGUACUCUCGCCCCCCUCCACCUGUAACUGACAUAGGUGGAUUAUUCCGGAGCCAGACUCCCCGGAGCCACCUCCGGUGAGCCUCUCACCCAUCUGUCCAGAACGUCUGCCUGAGACAUUCCUGCUAGUAUCUGGAAGCUGGGUCUGAAUCCAGGGACAGUGGCAUAGAAGGGGCCAUCUUCUCCCCAAGCCAAAUCACAGGGCUGUUCAGCCAGCCCACGUUAGGCCUGAAGAUAAAGCCUGGCCCCCCAAGCUUCUCAGGCUCCAAGCAGCUUUCCCAGGGAGAUAAAAUGAACUUAGGUUACUCCUUUGUGUUACUUUCCAGGAGGUGGGGGGGGGGUAGGCAGGGAGACUGGGCUCUCUGGCUGUUUUUCUAGUGCAGAAGGGAGAAGGAGCCACCGAGACUGGGUUCUGAGGUCACUAAUUCAGCCAGUUGGUGACAGCCUGCUCUGGCCAUUCUGUCGAGGCCCUGGGUAUAGAGAGGGCUAUAGAAGAAAAGUCCUGCCCCCAGGGAGCUCAUAGUUUGAUGGUGGAGAUAGGCCAGUAUUGAGCUUUGACAAAGCUGUGGGACAGAGUUCCAGAGAAGCAGGACAAACAGAGGGAAGGCUUCCACGGAGCAAGGAUCAGGGCGAGGAGACAGACGGAGGAACUCACCUUACACACAAGAUGUAAACGGGCCCCAAAAACUCGGUUCUCAAGACAAUUCCAUUUUAUUUUAUUUUAUUAUUUUUUUAAAGAUUUUAUUUAUUUAUUUGACAGAUGUAGAGACAGCCAGCGAGA